ensembl:lncRNA
CUGGAGUCUCAGAACAGGUCCUUACAGGUUCUAGUUUCCUGUGUCAUUUGAAAUCACUGCUACUUCAGUUUCUGUGCACAACCUGAUCUGCUCAGCCCCUGACUCCAUGGCUGCGGAGUGCUGCCAGGAUGACGUCAACUCCCCUCACAGAUCCCCGAGCUUUGAAGGCCUGCCACAAACUGGCUCCAGGCUCCAUCAAAUGAAAUCCUGCCAAGCUUCAAGGCCCAAUUAAAAAUAUAAGAUGCCAUUAAGCCUUCUGCCUUCUUUGGUUUCUUUCUCCACUCCGUUCUUCCAAAUAAAAC